UACCAGCACCCCGAGUGGUCGGGACGUUUAUUGGGCCUAAAGCAUCCGUAGCCGGUUCUACAAGUCUUCCGUUAAAUCCAGCUGCUUAACAGAUGGGCUGCGGAAGAUACUAUGGAGCUAGGAGGCGGGAGAGGCAAGCGGUACUCGAUGGGUAGGGGUAAAAUCCGUUGAUCCAUUGAAGACCACCAGUGGCGAAGGCGGCUGCCAGAACGCGCUCGACGGUGAGGGAUGAAAGCUGGGGGAGCAAAC
rnacentral:rRNA from 1 species